GACGAACGCUGGCGGCGUGCUUAACACAUGCCAGUCGAACGGAAAGGCCCUGCUUUUGUGGGGUGCUCGAGUGGCGAACGGGUGAGUAACACGUGAGUAACCUGCCCUUGACUUUGGGAUAACUUCAGGAAACUGGGGCUAAUACCGGAUAGGAGCUCCUGCUGCAUGGUGGGGGUUGGAAAGUUUCGGCGGUUGGGGAUGGACUCGCGGCUUAUCAGCUUGUUGGAGGGGUAGUGGCUUACCAAGGCUUUGACGGGUAGCCGGCCUGAGAGGGUGACCGGCCACAUUGGGACUGAGAUACGGCCCAGACUCCUACGGGAGGCAGCAGUGGGGAAUAUUGCACAAUGGGCGGAAGCCUGAUGCAGCAACGCCGCGUGCGGGAUGACGGCCUUCGGGUUGUAAACCGCUUUCGCCUGUGACGAAGCGUGAGUGACGGUAAUAGGUAAAGAAGCACCGGCUAACUACGUG
rnacentral:rRNA from 1 species